AGCCCCAUCGUCCAGUGGUCAAGGAUGCAAGCCUUUGGAGCUUGUGACCCCGGUUCGAAUCCGGGUGGGGCUA
rnacentral:tRNA from 1 species